AAAUAAUCCCGGGAAACUGGGGCUAAUACGCGAUAGAUUCAAAGUUCUGGAAUGGCUUUGAAUCCAAAGGGCUGAAGGAGCAUGCUUCUUCAGUCGCUUCAAGAUGGGACUGCGGCCGAUCAGGUAGUUGGCGGGGUAAUGGCCCACCAAGCCUAUAACCGGUGCGGGCUCUGAGAGGAGGAGCCCGGAGAUGGACACUGAGACAAGGGUCCAGGCCCUACGGGGUGCAGCAGGCGCGAAACCUUCACAAUGCGCGAAAGCGCGAUGAGGCUAUACCGAGUGUCAUCCGCUGAGGGUGACUUUUCCUCGAUCUAAAACAUCGAGGGAAUAAGGGGAGGGCAAGCCUGGUGUCAGCCGCCGCGGUAAUACCAGCUCCCCGAGUGGUCGGGACGAUUAUUGGGCCUAAAGCAUCCGUAGCCGGCUUCACAGGUCUCUUGUUAAAUCCAACGGCUCAACCGUUGGACUGCAGGGGAUACCAUGGAGCUAGGGGGCGGGAGAGGCGGACGGUACUCCAUGGGUAGGGGUAAAAUCCUUUGAUCCAUGGAAGACCACCAGUGGCGAAGGCGGUCCGCUAGAACGCGCCCGACGGUGAGGGAUGAAAGCUGGGGGAGCGAACCGGAUUAGAUACCCGGGUAGUCCCAGCUGUAAACGAUACGGAUUGGGUGCCGGUACCGCUUCGGGCCGUAUCGGUGCCUCAGGGAAGCCGUUAAUCCCGCCGCUUGGGGAGUACGGUCGCAAGACUGAAACUAAAGGAUUUGGCGGGGGAGCACCACAAGGGGUGAAGCCUGCGGUCAAUUGGAGUCA
rnacentral:rRNA from 1 species